rnacentral:lncRNA from 1 species
UAGAUCCAACUUGAAUGCUUCCUGAUUAAAUAUAUACAGGAGUGAUUUCAGAGGAAUUUAAGUUUUGGAUCAUCCUUUUGAGAAAGAAAAAAAAGUACCCUUUUAAAAGAGGUGACUCUUGAACAACACAGGUUUGAACUGCAUCAUUCCACUUAUACACAGACUUUCUUCUGCCACUGCCACUCCUGAGACAACAUGACCAAUCUCUCCCUUUCCUCCUCCUCAGCGUACUUUCAACAUAAAGACGACGAGGAUAAAGGCAUUUAUGAUGAACUACUUCCACAUAAUGAAUAAUUGAACAAAGGAGAGAAUUGUGAGAGUGAGAAAAAGUAAGUGAGACAAAGAAGAAAAACUAUAAAUCAGCAAAAUCCAGUGCCAAGAGCUCUGGACCACAAAUCAGAAGACCUGAGCCCUAAUUCCUUUCCAGUCAUUGGUCAGAGGCAGUGCAGCUUGUGUUACAACUCAAAGAGUAAUACUUUGAAAAAAGAAAAAAAAGAUGGCGCUGAAAAUAAACAUGUUCAGCAGCCAUUGUGAUUCAACUUACCCAGAUGUGCUUUUCAUGAGAUGGAGAAGGACGGAUGGAAAAGAAAAGCACACAAAUGUUAAUGGAUACAGUUCAAUCCAAAGAAAACCAUGGAAUAAAACAAGAGCAUUAUUUAAGAUGUGAGAAAGCUCAGGUAUGAGAAAGACAUGGUGCCAUUUUGUAUUUCAUCAUGACACACAUACUCACUGCGUCGAAAAGCAUAGUCAGGCUGAGGGUAGUUCUAAUAGUUGACCAAUAAGUCUAUGUCUUG